AUAUCAGUAAGCGGAGGAAAAGAAACUAACAAGGAUUCCUUAGUAACGGCGAGCGAAAAGGGAAGAGCCCAGCGCUGAAUCUGACGUCCCCCGGACGUUUUAGAAAUGUGGCGUUUGGGACGAAACAUUGCCUGUAUUGAAAAAUUAUCCAAGUCCUUCUUGAACGGGGGCU
rnacentral:rRNA from 1 species